CAGACUUCAGGCUGUAAUUGACUGCAAAGGAUUUGCAACCAAGUAUUAAAAAGUGAAAAUUUGAUUUAUGACUGUUAAUCUGUCCCAUUACUUUUGGUCCCUUAAAAAGUGGGAGGCACAUAUACAAACCCCUCACAGUGAGAAUUGCGGAAGUGCCUCUAGCGGCUGUCAGUGAGACAGCCACUAGAGGCUGGAUUAACCCUCAGUGAAACAUAGCAGUUUCUCUGAAACUGCUAUGUUUUCAGCUGCAGGGUUAAAACUAGAGGGACCUGGCAUCCAG